GGCAGCAGUACCUGGAGGUGUAGCUCCAGAAGCCAGGACUGAGAGUACCAGGAGCAGCAUGCUGGCCAGGCAGAUGAACAGGGGGAUGCAGGAUUCAACAGAGACAAGAGCCCAGUACCCACCAGAAGUCAAGUCAGAUUACUGUCACCAGCUCUGAGGAUCCUGUCUGGUUGGAAGAUGCACAAUAUAAAUGAUUUUAUAAACUAAAUAAAUAAAUAAAACCCUGGUGCCAA